GUUCUUACUGCUUGGUUUAUGAUGAAUAUGCUUGCGAUACGAUAUUUUUUUCCUAAUGCUGGAAACUGAAGAAUCGAUCUUUGAAAUCGGUAGUCAUCACAUUUUUGCAAGGAGCGUCGGAGCUGUAAUCGUGUAAUUGAACAGGGUCUUGGCAAUUUGAGCUCACAAGCACGCUGAGUGAGAAGAUAAAACAGAAGUGUUGCAGAGUUCUCUUUACAGACUGAAUUCUGGCACCAAACUUCAAUUUUUAUGUACACAAGGCACACUCUAAGGUGGAAGAGUAGAAGACCAUAGACUGAUGUUUACCAGGCACUUGCACUCACCACAAUUAUAUAUUCAAGCAAUACUCUACAAAUAUAAAACUGAUAAGAUGAUGUCUUCAACCCAUU